GACGAACGCUGGCGGCGUGCUUAACACAUGCAAGUCGAACGGAAAGGCCCUGCUUUUGUGGGGUGCUCGAGUGGCGAACGGGUGAGUAACACGUGAGUAACCUGCCCUUGACUUUGGGAUAACUUCAGGAAACUGGGGCUAAUACCGGAUAGGAGCUCCUGCUGCAUGGUGGGAGUUGGAAAGUUUCGGCGGUUGGGGAUGGACUCGCGGCUUAUCAGCUUGUUGGUGGGGUAGUGGCUUACCAAGGCUUUGACGGGUAGCCGGCCUGAGAGGGUGACCGGCCACAUGGGGACUGAGAUACGGCCCAGACUCCUACGGGAGGCAGCAGUGGGGAAUAUUGCACAAUGGGCGGAAGCCUGAUGCAGCAACGCCGCGUGCGGGAUGACGGCCUUCGGGUUGUAAACCGCUUUCGCCUGUGACGAAGCGUGAGUGACGGUAAUGGGUAAAGAAGCACCGGCUAACUACGUG
rnacentral:rRNA from 1 species